GGUUAAGCGACUAAGCGUACACGGUGGAUGCCCUGGCAGUCAGAGGCGAUGAAGGACGUGCUAAUCUGCGAUAAGCGUCGGUAAGGUGAUAUGAACCGUUAUAACCGGCGAUUUCCGAAUGGGGAAACCCAGUGUGUUUCGACACACUAUCAUUAACUGAAUCCAUAGGUUAAUGAGGCGAACCGGGGGAACUGAAACAUCUAAGUACCCCGAGGAAAAGAAAUCAACCGAGAUUCCCCCAGUAGCGGCGAGCGAACGGGGAGCAGCCCAGAGCCUGAAUCAGUGUGUGUGUUAGUGGAAGCGUCUGGAAAGGCGCGCGAUACAGGGUGACAGCCCCGUACACAAAAAUGCACAUACUGUGAGCUCGAUGAGUAGGGCGGGACACGUGGUAUCCUGUCUGAAUAUGGGGGGACCAUCCUCCAAGGCUAAAUACUCCUGACUGACCGAUAGUGAACCAGUACCGUGAGGGAAAGGCGAAAAGAACCCCGGCGAGGGGAGUGAAAAAGAACCUGAAACCGU
rnacentral:rRNA from 1 species